rnacentral:lncRNA from 1 species
ACCCCGGCUCCUUGGGAUAGAUGGGGAAGCUGAGGCCCAGAAGGGGGCUGAGACCACCUCCCAGUUUCCCCAGUGAGGUGGCGCCUGAGCCACGGCCAGGCCCGGCCUCCUUCCACCCGGCCCUGCUGUGCGCGCGGCGGGUGCUGACCUGGCGAGGCCGGACAGGGGACCAGGUCGGGGUGACCGUCACUGACACCUGGACAGUCCUCGUUGUGUUCGGGGUGGGAAGCCCACGGUGAGUCUGGGGACCCAAGAUCUUAUUUUCCUUUCUGUCACCCCCGCUUGGUUUUGGAUUCCGUGACAGCUGGACCCGGCUUCUGCGUGGGAAGAGUGUAUCACAGCCAUUGGGAACUUUCUUCACCCAUCAAAGCCUCAGGGCUGAAGCAUCCUGAACAAGAACUCAGGAGAGUGAAAGAAACAGUUACCUGUCGGCUGCAGCUGGUACCAGCUCCCCACCCCGUACAGAGACCGAAGCGUCCUCUCUCUCCCCAUCACCCAGCACCAGACUCUGCCCCGCGACCUCAGCCUGCACCUGCUUCCUGGCUCCAUCCAGCCUUCCAGCCUCACUAGAUCAUCAUGGGCCACUGGCCAACACACAGGGCAGUGCCGAGCCCAGGCCGUGGUCACACAUGGCUGGGUUAGUAGCUGAAAACAUUGUUUUUCACUGGCCUCACAGUAAUGGCACCUGCCCCCAUUUUCUGUGAUUGAAUUUUUGGAUCCUGCUACCAGGUUAUGAUAGAUUUUAUGGUAUGUCUCAAGAUAUUGAGAUAAAGGUAAUAAAACAGCUAUAAAGUCCUGGCUCAAGAAGUGUUACAAACCCAAGCAGGGUAAAUACAAGAAAACUGCACCCAGACACAACAUAGUAAAAUUGCUGAAAACCAAAGAUGAAUAGAACACUUAACAGUUGGAGGAAAAAAGCCACAUUACCUUCAUAAGGACACCAAUCACACUAACAUCUGACUUCGAAAUAGAAAUAUAAAAGCCAAACUACAAGGGAAUGUGAUCUUCAAAAUAUUGAAAGAAUUUAAUUGUUAAGUGAAAUAAUUAACUGCCAACCUAAAUUCUAUUCCUAGUGGAAAUACUCUCCAAGAAUAAAGGUGAAAUAAAUACAGACUCACACAAGAGAAAUCAAGAGCGUUCUUCCUCAGGAGACAUGAGCUGAUUGGUAUAGAAGAGGUGUUUGAAACGUCCUUAGAGGGAGGGCUAGAGACACAGGGAGGAGAAACCUUCAGAACACACCUUCCAUUGAGGGCCAAAAAAGUCAACUAUCGAUUCUUUGAAAGUGCCCCAAACUCGUAAAUCUCUGGUGAUGCUGACCAAAAAAACAAUGAAGGAAGGCACCCUGUGAUGGGGAAGGAAAAGGGGAGAUUGCUGGAGAUCUGUGGAUAUUAAAAAUAGGCACAUAUACACUAUGGAAUACUAUGCAGCCAUAAAAAAGGAUGAGUUCAUGUCCUUUGUAGUGACAUGGAUGAAGCUGAAAACCAUCAUUCUGAGCAAACUUUCGCAAGGACAGAAAACCAAACACUGCAUGUUCUCACUCAUAGGUGGGAAUUGAACAAUGAGAACACUUGGACACAGGGUGGGGAACAUCACACACCGGGGCCUGUCGGGGGGUGGGGGAGGGGGGAGGGAUAGCAUUAGGAGAUAUACCUAAUGUAAAUGAUGAGUUAAUGGGUGCAGAACACCAGCAUGGCACAUGGAUACAUAUGUAACUAACCUGCACAUUGUGCACAUGUACCCUAGAACUUAAAGUAUAAUGAUAAUAGAAAAAAAAUAGAGCACAAGGAACAUGCUAACAAAUUUGAAAGUUUUGAUGAGAUGGAAAAAUUCCUAGAAAAUUAUAACUUACCAAAACUGAAAGAAGAAAGAUAAAUGACCCCACAUUUGUUAAAUAAAUUGGAUCUGUCAUGAAAAUAUUUCACACAGUGGAACCUCUAGUCACAAAUGCUUCACCAGUGAAUUCUACUAAACAUUUAAGGAAUAAAUAGCACCCAUCUCACACAAACUCUUCUAGAGCCGAGGCAUAAUGGGAACAGCAACUCCACCUGUCAUGUUUCACCUCCAGGAAAACGUGAUACCCAAACUCAACAGAGAAAAAAUAAACUUACAGACCAGUCUCACUCAUGAACAUAAACAGAAAUCCUCAACAAGAUAUUAACAUAUAAGACCUGGCAGUUGGCCAGGCGUGGUGGCUCACGCCUGUAAUCCCAGCACUUUGGGAGGCCGAGGUGGGUGGAUCACGAGGUCAGGAGAUCGAGACCAUCCUGGCUAACAUGGUGAAACCCUGUUUCUACUAA